CGGAACAACAUUAGACUUACUCAGUUGCGCACCCUAACAUAUAACCUUUGCAACCAUACUUACAUCUCUCCCUCAUUCUAUCGAACAUAAGAGUAAAAGCUGAACUGAAUAUAUUGUUCUACUACUGCCUCAGGAGAGUGUAAAUUUGGAACGGGAUCGAAUGCACCUUCACAAGAAUCAAAACCGGGACAACAUUAGACAAGUCAGUUGUGCCUAAUUAGUAUAAAUGUUUGUACGAGUACUUUUUCUCAUUACAAAUCUAAAAAAGAGUAAAAUCUUAAUUAAUAUAUUCUUAUUAUGCCAGCGAGAGUGCUAAAUUUGGAACAAAAAUUAUGGUCCAACCUUCACAAGAACCAAAAAACCGGAACAACAUUUAGACACUCAGUUGCGCCCGUAACCGGAUAUACUUUGAACGAGUACUUUUUCUCAAUCAAUCGACAAAAGAGUAAAACCUAUAAUUAUAAUAUGAUUCUAUAUGGCCGCCGGAGAGUGUAAAUUUGGAACAAAUUUGAUGUCAAACCUGUUCACAAGAACAAAAACCGGAACAAAUUAGAAAACUCAGUUGCGCCAUAACAGUAUAAGCUUUGCAACGAAGUACUUUUUUCAAAAUCAAUCGAACAAAGAGUAAAAAGCUAAUUCUAUUGUUCUAUGUUAUGCACUUGAGAAUGUAAAUUCGGAACAAGCGAGUGUCGUAUUUUCAGAAGAUAGACAAACUGGAACCAACAGUAGUUGUCACUGCCCGAGACCGCUCCCGAAAUUUUUGGUCCGGUUCGCGGGGCACCGCGACAGCCGCCGAACGGACGCGUUUCCCCUGUCGCGGAACAGGAGAGCUCCCCUGGUACGUUCCUAGGGCGUCGCCAAUCCAAAACAAGUGUCACAUUACAAAAGAUUCCAGACCAGGGAACAGUACUCAGCAAACAGAAUUGCAAUCAGGAACGGUAUCAGAUCCAACAGUUAAAAACACAAUACCUAAUGAUAUUUACGACAGCAUUCACAUUACGAUGCACAUUCAUUACAUUCAACUUCCUGAAUACCAAUUAAGUUAUUAAACAUUUAUUUUUUACAGACAUUGAUAAUUUUGCUGUGCUUUUUUUCUAUACCUAAGCUAGUCGACGCCGGGGUGCUGGCGAGCUCUGGCCUCUGGGGUAGGGCGCCUAUCUAAUGGGAGUACGCCCUUGCCAUCGGCGCCGCCGCGCCGCUCACGUCGCGAACCUUUAAACCCCAAAGAACAGGCGUGGGGGUGGAACCAACUCCAUGGGGUUUCCCAGUGCGGUUAAGCCACCCGAAGGGAGGAGCGUCGAACAACAGGUCCAAGGGAAGGCAAAUACAAGUUAGGUCCAAUAAGACAGAUAGAUAAAUGUAUACUCAUAAUAUUCAUGCAACUAACUAUUACACUUGGCGUUGUUGCCUCACAACUGCAAUGAUGCAUGCUAUUACCUGGCAACCAGGAACGGUUGGAACGCUGCGCCUAGUGAGAUGAUUAUGUUGAUUCUGACGAUUCAAUCUCGCUAAUCUUAAGCUCAUGUCAUCCAACUCUAAGGUGUUCCCGCUAACUGCUAGGUUAACAAUCUACCACUAGCCUCAAGGUUCUAUUCUACCUUAUUCCGUCAAGCCACCCGACUCGCCUCGAGUCCAAUCAACAGGGAUAAAUCCGCGCUCUGGCCCGGGCUCGAGGUGAGCAGGAAUCCUGUCGCAUUGCACCUCAGCCUGCAAGCCAAAGAAAGCCACCAUCGGCCAACGGUCCGCUGCCGAAGGGUCCGUGCACCGUGGUCAGGGAUUCGCGCCAGUGGGAGAAGGAAACAUAGCCACGUACACCCAUAGCUCUGAGAUCCCCGACUAACGGGAGAGGAGGAAUAUGCCACGUUCCACCCUAGGCGCAUCUCCCUAUUCAUUGCUUAGUCUAUAUUCCUCAAGUAGUUCUUUCCGGUGGGAAAGAGGAACAUCGCGGCAUUACACCGCCGGUCCAGAACUAUAUGAGUUCACUCCGAGUACUGAGAUUCCGGAUAUCGACUCCACAAGUCCGCAAGGGUCCAUAUCCACGCCUAAUACUCAUUGAACCCUAUCUUCGGGUCCAAUGCACUUUCCACCUAGUUCCAACUGCACUCUAGGAUCUUAAUUGCCUCCAUUUCACAACUAGUUUACUUUAACUCUAGGUUCCAUUCGUCGACCUAAUGUCUCUUUAACCACUAGGUAGACUGCCUGAAGCACUGAGAAUCGCCGACUCUUAGGAUUCAUACUCAACCUAUGUUCUUUAACACUAGGUUAGGUGACCCACUCGUUAUUUUAUCCUAGUUUAAAUACUCUAGAUGUCGAUGUAUCUAUGCCGACCUUGAUGUUAUGUAACCACUAGGGUUAAUGCCAACUCGAUCUACUUGAUGUCCUUACUUGUACUUAUCAAGGUAUUCUACAGUUCAUCACUAAUUAAUAUUUAGUAUCAACUACCAUGCAUCAUCUUGCAGUUUUAUCACAUGGACAAUGCACUUCUUAACAUUAUGUAUUAUGUCUAUCAUGGCCUCUCCUAGCAUCAUGUACCAUGCAAUUCAGCUAGACAAUGAGUAUUCUACAGCAUACUUAAUAUUCCAUGUAUUAUGGCACUAUAUUUCUCAUUACGUCACUAUGCAUUAAUCUAUUAUUGGCCUCAUUUACAUUCAUUAUGCACUCAACGGCUGGAUUCUUAAUCAUCUUAGACAUAAAGGGCGACCUAGCGCAUCAUCGGUAAACACAACCCCACCUUAAACUUCGCCGUUCCGGAGCUUGCUCGUCGACCCACUUGCAAUCGGUCCCUCCGCGGCACUCGGCACCCGUUUGGGCCCGAGUCUCACAGAUUGCUUUCAAGAGCGGUCGCUUCGCCCGUUUCAAGUCGCUAACGAUCUUGGCCGUAGUAUGAUGCUCGGGACCCAAUUUCACAAAUUCAUGGAACGUCGCCUCGGAACCAUUCCAGGCGGGGGACAACCGAAGCUAGCCAAGCGUCCGUUCUUCAAUAUGCUUUGCAAGCAGGCUCGUUCGGCAUUGCCGAAUCGUCUGUUCGCCAACGUGUCUUGUUACGUAAUCAAUUAGGUUUACGAAGGGGUCAAUCUGAGAUCAAACCCCACCUAUUUCUUAAAACCCCUUUGGCCCUAGUUCGCGGACUACGGCAACAAUACCUCCACAAUAAAUCCGUAGAUUCAUGCAUGUAACUCUACUCAUAAGCCAUGCUAGGCAUCGCAUCUAAAACCAAUUUCUUAGAGCGUUUAACCGAAACACCUAAGAAAUCACAUUAAAAGCUUGCAGAAGCUUACUCGCUAACGCCUCCUCGCGAAGCACAAGGAAGGAAUGAAGAAGAUGGAAGCUCUUCCUCUUCUUUCUUCUUCUCUUCCUCCUCUCGUUCUUCUUCUUCUUCUUUUCUUCUAUUGUUAUGGAGGGAGAUAGGAGGUGGGCGGUUGGGGUUGAAAGGUGAGGCGACAAGACGAGGAGGCGAGAGAGGCUUCUUACUCCUCAUCUAUACAACUGUAACCCAUGCAACCGGGAUUGGCAGGAAAACCUCAACAGACAAGCCACUCUGCUGCAAACACGCGGAACUGGGCAGUUUCGGGGUUCGGAACGGUGUGCUACAUGAGGGCCGAGUCUCUGGUGAGAUCGGUCUCCCUACCUGGACCGCGGUCCCCAGAGAGACCUCCCAGCCGGAGGACUUGCCAGUUUGUAGCUUCGUCGGUUUUCGCUCCGUUCUGGCCCCGUUUUCGUUGGAUUGACCUCCGAUCUCGUCUUAAUCGAACCGAGACCUCUCCACACAAUGUUAUUCGCAAAGCAUGUUUUCCAUACUUAUCCAUCCUCGCUAAGCCGGAUGUUUGUAGCUCACAGGCCGAAUUUUAGCCCAUUAGUCGGGUUCCCGUUUCCGCGCCUACGCGCACCGAAACGCAUCGAUAGCUCACCGAACUUCCACCAACUUACACCGAAGCCAUUCAACAAUGGCUCUUACGAUCGAGAUGUACACCAUAAAGCUCAACUAGUUUUAGAAGUCGGUACUGUACAAGUAAGACAUUACACAGUUGCGCCCCUCUAAACAGUAUAAUUUGCAACGGAGUACUUUUCUCAUUCAAUCGAAUAAAAGAGUUAAACGCUAAUUCAUAUUGUUUCUAUUAUGACCCGAGAUUGCUAAUUUAGAGACGAGCCAUCGGAUGUCGAAGCGUUGUGAAGAAGAGCCAAAUCCGGAACAACAUUAACUCUCAGUUGCGACCUAACAGCGUAUAACUUCGGCAAAGAUACUUUUUCUCAUUCAAUCGAACAAGAAGAGUAAAGAAGCUACAUUAUAUUGGGUAUCUAGUUGUAUCCGGGGAGAGUGUUAAUUUUGAACGACGAUCGAUGUCAAUGUUGACGAAGAACAAAAUAGUAAACAUAUUAGACCUACUCAGUUCGCUCCUAACAGUUAUAACGUUGCAACGGGAGUAUACUUUUUCUCAUUCAAUCGAAAAAGGUAUAAAAGCUAUUAUAAUCGUUCUAUUAUGCCUCUGGAGUGUAAAUUUGGAACAAAUCGUUGUCAACCUUCACAAGACCCAAAACCGGAACAAACAUUAGACUUCUCAGUUGCGCCCUAACAGCAUAAAUUUGCAACGAAGUACUUUUUCUCAUUCAUCCGAACAAAGAGUUAAAAAGCUAUUAAAUUGUUCUAUUUGCCUCGAGAGUGUAAUUUGGAAAGAAUCCGAUGUCAACGUUGCAAGAACAAAAACCGGAACAACAUUGGGACUCACUCAGUUGGCCCUAACAGUAUAACUUUGCAACGAGUACUUUUCUUUCAUUCAAUCGAACAAAAGAGUAAAGCUAAUUAUUAUUUUUCCAUUAUGCUCGGAGAUUGUUAACUUAGAACCGAAUCGUUGUUCAACCUUCACAAGACAAGAACACGGAAAAAAUUAAGACUGCUUAGUUGGCCCUACAGUAUAACUUUCCAACCAGUACUUUUUCGACAUUCUAAUCGAACAAAGAGUAAAAAGCUAAUCGUAUAUAGUAUCUACUAAUUGCCAGAGGAGUGAUAAAUUUGGAACGCAAAUCGAUGUCACUAUUUACAAAAAUCAAACACCGCGGAACAACAUUAGACUACGUCAGUCUUGCCUUAAUCAAUAGUAUAGAAUUUGUUACGAGUAACUUUUUCUCAUUCAAGAUCGACAAAAAAAGAGUAAAACUAAUUAUAUUAUUCUAUUAUGCCACCGGGAGUGUUAAAUUUAGGAACAAAUCUGGGAUUGGACAGACCUCUCACAAGAACCAAAAACCCGGAACAACAGUUAGACACUUCAGUUGCCGCCUAAUAGCUAUAACUUUUGCAACGAUACUUUUUUCCUAACUCAGAAGAUCGAACAAAGAGUAAAACCUGAAUUAUAUGAUUCAUACUUAAUGCGCGAGAGUGUAAAUUGGAAACAAAUUGAUGUCAACCUUACACAAGGAACCAAAAUACGGACAACAUUUAGACCACUCAGUUAGCGCACCUAACAGAUAAUAACUUUGGCAACGAGUACUUUUUCUCAAUCAUGCGAACAAAGAAGUUAAAAGCUAAUUCUAUGUGUUCUACUUAUGCUCUGAGAAUGUAAAAUUAAGGAAGGAAGCGAUGUCUAUGUUCAGAAGAUAGAAAAACUGGAACCACCACACCAUUAAGUACCUCAGUUGCGCGCCUUACCGUAUAAAUUUGCAAAGCGAGUCGUUUUUCUGCUUCAAUCGAACAAAGAGUUAAACAUGUUCUAUUAUGCCCCUUGAGAGUGAUAAAUUUGGAACGAAUGAUGUCAACCUUUACAAAGACACCAAAACCCGUAACACAAUAGACUAUCAGUUGCGCCUAACAGUAUAACUUUGCAACGGUACCUUUUCUCAUAUCAACUGACAUAAAGAGUAAAGCUAUAAUAUUGUCUAUUCUGCCCCGAGAUUGCUAAUUAGAACGAAAUCGAUAGUCAACGUUGACAAGAACUCAAAAACAGGAACAACAUUGGAACUACUCAGUUGCGCCCUAACAGUAUAACUUUGCAACGAGUACCUUUUCUCGUUCAAUCGAACAAAGAGUAAAAGCUAAUUAUAUUGUUCUAUUAUGCCCCGAGAUUGUUAAUUUAGAACGAAUCGAUGUCAACGUUGAAAAGAACCAAAACCGGAACAACAUUAGACUACUCAGUUGCGCAUAAACAGUAUAACUUUACAACGAGUACUUUUUCUCAUUCAAUCGAACAAAGAGUAAAAGCUAAUUAUAUUGGUCUAUUAUGCCCCGAGCGUGUUAAUUUAGAACGAAUCGAUGUCAAU
rnacentral:lncRNA from 1 species